rnacentral:tRNA from 1 species
GCCUGGGUGGCGGAACUGGUAGACGCAAGGGACUUAAAAUCCCUUGAGGCAUGUCCUCGUGCGGGUUCAAGCCCCGCCCCAGGUACCA